GAGCUGGACAGGUAGAUGGUCAGUCAGCUGUUCCUGUGUGUUUCAGAGGACUGCGUGGCUGCUAACUGCCGUGUUCCUGCUGGCCGCCGUCGCCUGCGCCCUUUCGCAGGAGCGGCAAGAUGGCGAGGAGAAAUCACGACCCUCCACCAUCAGACCCAGGCCCGUCACUCCGGGUGGACCCAAGCUUCCGCCUCCCCGCCAGCAGAGGGACGUGCCGCCACCAGGGGGGCGUGAGCCCGCCUCCACCCCUAGGCCCGCCACCAUCCGCCCCCGGCCACCCGUCCAGAGACCUGGGCCAUAAGUAGAAACAGCAUCAGAUCAGGAACGUAACACGUCUUCAAGUACUUAUGCUACUAUUAGAACCAAUCUGUGUAACAGUUCAGCUUGUCAGCACAUAAUCUACCAAAUGGUAAAAUAAAAGCAGUGUGUUGGAAGAUGCGUUAUUUAGUGAUAUUAAUAAAGACCUGCCUGCAAUAAAAAAUUAUCUCCAAACAUU